GACGAACGCUGGCGGCGUGCUUAACACAUGCAAGUCGAACGCUGAAGCUCAGCUUUUGUUGGGUGGAUGAGUGGCGAACGGGUGAGUAACACGUGAGUAACCUGCCUCCUUCUUUGGGAUAACGCCCGGAAACGGGUGCUAAUACUGGAUAUUCACUGGUCUUCGCAUGGGGGUUGGUGGAAAGGGGUUUUCUGGUGGGGGAUGGGCUCGCGGCCUAUCAGCUUGUUGGUGGGGUGAUGGCCUACCAAGGCUUUGACGGGUAGCCGGCCUGAGAGGGUGACCGGUCACUUUGGGACUGAGAUACGGCCCAGACUCCUACGGGAGGCAGCAGUGGGGAAUAUUGCACAAUGGGCGCAAGCCUGAUGCAGCGACGCCACGUGAGGGAUGGAGGCCUUCGGGUUGUGAACCUCUUUCGCUCAUGGUCAAGCCGCAACAAUGGUUGUGGUGAGGGUAGUGGGUAAAGAAGCGCCGGCUAACUACGUG
rnacentral:rRNA from 1 species